GGCCAUCGCGCCCAUGCUGGUAAAAUAAUGUGACAGUCGCAUUGCUAUGUGCAUCAAUGUUUAUUUUGGUUCGCAUUUCGUGCUGCGACCGCUGCCUUCACUGCGUUGCCACAAGUGCAAGUUAGUUCUUUAUUCUAUGACAAGUGCUUUUAUGCCCGUGUUGUAUAAACGUUCGAGUCUCGUGCCUCGCGAAACGGUCGGAAUGCUCGCUUAGCUCCCGAUCCCACUGGAUCGAUUCGGCCCAGCAGCGGCCGCCUGCACUACCACCACCCGGCGUUGCUGACGGCGAGGAAGAGGUGUUCGCACAGCCUCGGCGUUUUUUACGCGAUCGGCGCUUGGCGCCGGUGUGCAGCCACCCAGCUGUGUUGAGAGCGUGCCCGGAAUGCGACGUUGUGUCUUCGAGAUGAGCAGCGCAUUUCGUGAUGGGUGAACACUGACUGAGUAGCGUUGCUUCUCGUACGUUUCGCGCUCGUCGUGAUACAAGACUCUCCGCGCGCAAUGCAAAUAAGUCCUCGAGACUAGUUUUGGGGGCUCCCUCCAGAAGUUAACGGAGAUCGCCUCAUAACGAGGCCCUGUCUCUGGCGCGGUGUUUCGGAGCAGUGCGACGAAUGGGGCUGGUGAAAACAAGGGCAAAAAAAAAAAAAACACGCACUCACAAAGACAAGAAUGUAGAGUCGAUACACGAGGAGGCGUACAGUGAGGCAUCCGUUUUUGCGCGUCUUGUAAAUUAGCGUGAUCGUCACCGGCGUAUCUUUAAAGCCACGAUUUGUCUACACUCCCACGCACACCCUUCGCUUACCGGGAAGAUGCUUCCAGACUCGUGGGAGAUGUGAUGCGGUGUGCGGUGGGGAUGAUGCUGGGAUACGUCCCGUUUCUCCCCUUGUGAAACUAGUUGCGGUGAGAGGUGGCGCCAGCGUGCUCGCGGUGAUGGGACCCAGACGCGUCUUAACGGAGGACGAGAAAGAAGCCGAGAAGAAGCGGCGCUCGGAGAAGAAGAGGCUUCGCUAUGCGGCAAAACGCGGUGCCGAGCGUGAGCAGAUGCUCGAAGCGAAGCGCGAAGCUCGGCGUCGCAGAGUUUCGGCAAUGGGUCGAGAACAACGAGAAGCGAUGCUUGAAACCAAGCGCCAAGCACGUCGCCGCCGCCGGGCAGCGUUGGAUCAUGAGCAGCGAGAAGCUGUUCGUCGAAGUGAGCGCGAGGCGAAGCAGAGGUGGUUUCGAGCGAUGGCGGAAGAGCAGCGUCAAGAGCUUCGUGUCAGGGACAGGCUGUACAAGCAGCGGAUGCGAGCAGCGCAAAGACAGUCUUGCACGUCCGCCAACUGCCACUUGACAAAGGAUUUUGAUGUGGACAAUUUCAGAAGCGUUUGCAGUGUGUGUAACAGGCCUUGGCUCGGAUCUGACAUAACUGCCGUGUGCGAAUGUCAUGAAGCUUUGGUCCGGGAAGCAUUCUCCGGGAAAGCGGUGCAGGACUUCGCGAUCUGCCCCACGUGUAGUAACUCUUCGUUGAACGCUAGCAAGGCUGUUAUUGUUCCCCGGGGAUCAUCGGGAAGACUUUCGGGCUCAUCUGAACACAGCUUUCGAGGCACAGACGCGGGAGAUGCAACUACGACCGACAGUGAGCAGCAUUCCAUGGCCUUCUUGUUGCCCAAGUGGGGACAUCUGCACAGCACGAGACGACGAUAGUUCCCAACUCCACGGUGCGCUCCGUUGGACUAGGGUUCCCAUGUGCAGAGGCCAGCGUGGGAAAAGCAUGUACAGGCACGCAGACAACUGCAUCCAGUGAUGCUCCACUGCAUGUGGAGAAGAAAGGCCUGGCUAACGUGACAAGCUUGGGUGAAUGGAGCAGAGCCAGAAGAGUGGCAUCACGCCUUGUUUCUCACAAGAUUGGUCAGGCCACGGCUGCUCUGCAGUUCAACUUGCCCGUGGCUCACAAGUCUGUUCAGUGUGUCCCCAGAGUCAAGAGCAAGUCGACACAGUUCUCUGGUACUAGUACGAGGACGUCGAGGAGUCGGCCGACAAGAAGGGCUGCGGUUAGGCCAAGUUCUGCUUCAGCCCUCAAGACAACUUGAGCUCAUCGGUUGCUCGGUACGUGUCGAGAACAACACCAGAUGUCACAAGGAGUCCUUUGAAACGUGAAGUUGUGAACAUAGACUUUUUUUAUUUUGUGGUUGUGUCGUCAGACCUCUAUUUCAAGAUGGAAUGAGUGAAUGUGGGAUGAGUGAACGCUUCAAGCCAUGUUAAAAAGAAAAAGUGUGACGAUUUGGAGACCUCAGCUUCAUUGAGUGAAAGUGGUUUAGAACUGGCCUCCGACAACAGCGAUGAGUCAUGGAUGGAAUUCUUCAGUUUUGUUGGCUCCCCUGUGUGGAGUGAAGCCCACCUUUGUUACAGUCUUGAAGUUUUUUCUAAUAAACUUCGCCUCUGUGACCUUUGUGAACUUUGUGUUCACUUGGUCUUGAUUUACAUAAUCAGCGGAAUCGUUCCCACACUAGAAAUUCCGUCCUUGAUGCAAGGUUUUUAAAGCGAAGCUUUUAGCCUCUAGUUGGUCGGGAUUUCAUGCAGGGUGCUCACCCAAAAACAGACAGCUGCGGCCACCCAGACAGACCUCAAACAGCAGCUCGAAAAUCAAUCAAUCAAUCAUUUUAUUUUAGCAUCAAUGAGAAUCAAUGACACUUGGUGGGUACAGACAAAAAGCCAUUAAUCAGGCUUGACAGGGUGUGUACCCCCGGCCUUGGCAAACAAGGCACAUUAUUAUACAGUACAGAAGUACAAACGAACCAAGCUGGAUAAUAUACAGAAGAUAGUUUUCACUCAAAGGUCAUAAAUGCGCUAGUUAGGUUGGCAAUGCUAAAGGCACUGAUAGUGCGAUUUUUAUACAAAUACGAACAUCAUUUCAUAUCUGAAGUGAGCGUGUUACAUGUGAAGCUCUGAAUUAUUAAGUAGCACAGGUGACUGGUAUUUUAACAUUUGAGUGCCGUAAUUUGUUCGUGUUCUAGGCGCCCUCCAGACUUUGCGUACCCUCAGGCUGCGCACAUGCUCAGCCCGACUUUCUGUAUAACCCAGACAAUUCUGUAAAAAACAUGUCGUUUUCCGUAGCCAGUGUAUUGCGUUUCUGUAACAUUUAACGGUAAACCUCAUUCACUGGUAAUAGAUUCAGAGCCUUGAAAAUUGGUUCUGUGUGUGCAUCAAGUGCAGCUUUAACGAUGUUUCAAAGUGCUUUCUUUUGGAGUUUGUGUAGUUUUUCAGUGUUUGUUUUGGUGGUUGUGCCCCAGACUAUGUAACAGUAAGAUAGGUUGAACAAAAAUAGUGAUUUGUAAAUUAACAACUUCAUGUUCUGAGGCAGAAUGCAGUGAAGUUUGCAUAAGAUGCCUACAGUUUCUGAAAGUUUAUUUAAGGUUGCAUUUAAUUGAUCUGUCCACAUCAUAUGAUCUUCAAAAAUGACGUCAACGCUUCUAGCUUUGCGGGAAAUUUCUAUAGUUAAUGACCCUAAUUUUAAGUUGUUGGUGAUAUUCGGGCUUUUGUUCUGAGGGCGAAAUAAUACUGCUUUGCCGCAUUUAAGUUCAACAAAUUGGAAUCACUCCGUGUGUGGAUUUUUCUUAGUACUGCGUUGCCUUUUUCUAUGAGUUUUGAAGGGUCAUGGCCUGUUAUAAAAAUACUUGUGUCGUCUGCAUGAAUGAUAAAUUUAGUGUUUACACAAAUAUUUACGAUGUCAUUUACGUAUAAGUUGAAGAGUAAAGGGCCCAAGAUACUGCCUUGAGGCACACCAGCAGUAAGUGGCUUGAAUUCCGAUACAAAGUCAACAGUGACUAGCUGCCGACAAUGAUGAAAGUAAGAAGUGAUAAGUUUUGCGAAAGUACCCCUAAAGCCAUAAUGUUGCAAUUUCCCAAACAAGGAAUGGUGAUUAAUUGAGUCAAAUGCUUUUGAGUAGUCAAUGAAAAUGCCUAGUGUCCAUAGAUGAUCUUCAAAUGACUGCAAGAUAAAUUAAUACCUUUUGGCUCAGAAGAGCCAUUUCAAUUGAACAACCUUUCCGGAAGCCAUACUGGCAAGGCGUAAUAAUGUUACGCUUUGUUGAAAAACAACAUGCGUUUAUAUAUCAAUUUCUCAGUGCAUUUCAAGAAUACAGGAAUUAUUCAAAUAGGUCUGUAGUUAGAGAAAUUAUUGAUAUCACCGCCCUUGUAUAUCACGGUUACUUUUGACAUCUGAAGUUGUUAAGGGAAAAUACCAACAGAAAACAUAAGCUUAAUUACAUGCUCUAGAAUUGGCGCGAUAGUAUCGAUAACAUAUUUUACAGGUUGUAUCUGCAAGUCAUCAAUGUCGGUACACAUACUGUUUCUCAGAGACGUAACAGAACUUACAAUUUCAUGCACAGCAGUGGGAAACAAGAAUGAACUUUCCUGUAUUGGUGUUCUUAAAUGCUGGAUGCAUUCGGGAUCGUGCUUACUUUUUACUAAUUAUGUGAAAUAGUCGUUGAAAGAGUUCAAUAAUCGUGUAUCUGUUAGUGUGUUGCCUUUAACAUUAAUUAAAGGGGUUUGUGUUUGAGUUUCGGCGUAACAAAAUUAUGUUUUCUCGUAUACUUGAAUUACAAUCGGACGCUAUCGUGUCUGUAUGGUGGUGUGUAAGUCGUACUUUACGAAUGUUCGGACACAUUUUACUCUGAGAAAUUCAAUUAGGUCAAUACCACACUUGCACCAGGCGGAGGGCCUGCAUGAAUGAGCAUGUAUGCUGCACUUCCGCACACGCGUGUGACGUACGUUGCUUGUGGUGGUGGUGCUCGUCUAAAGUCUGCACCAGCUUCGCUGUAGAUACUUUCACAGGAUGGAAUGGAGGCGGAGUUUUUUUCUUCUUCCGUCCUUGAUGGGCCUUUGCCUAGUUCCCUGUGGUUUCAUUUGGCUGGUUGGUCUCCCCGCUGAAUGAACUAGGCUGAUCUUGUAGAUGGUGUAAAGAAAUCUGGGCUGAUACCAGAGACUGUAAUCAAAGAUGGUGAUUUGGUGGGCUGACUCUUACACCAGUGUUCAAUAGGUGUCCUCGUAAGGAUAUAAACGAACCUCUGACAGCAAUAGCCUUGUUUGUGACAUUUAUGCUUUCAUGAGUUAUCGUGUGUCUAAUAAUCACAGAAUGAAGCUGUAAAUGCUCUGACGCGACUAAUAAUUACUACCGUAAUUGCACGUAAAUAGCACAUAUAAUAUGUAGCGCAAAUAGUGCAAGUGGGGACUUUCUGUCUCUCAGAAAACGAAAACUAUGUAUAUUACGAUUAUAACGCGAAGUGCGUGCACAAUUUACUCGUCACUGCUGACAUCUUUAUCACUGUCGGCAAGAACGACAACAUCCUCCAUGCCACCAAGGUUAUUGGACAGGCAGCACUUCAGGAGUGCCCGUGACACAAUCGAACAUGGCAAAGCCAUGUUGUGUGAUAAAACACGGCUCCGUAUGUGGUAGUAAUCAUGGUGGUGCCUAACGGUUUAGCUCAUUGUAGUUGUGCCAGAAAAAUAUAAAGAAAAAAAUGCUGUUCUUAUGUCACGCAUGCGAAUUUAUAAUGUGAGGCAUGUUCAGAGGGCAGAAAUCCCGAAAAAAAAAAACGAAAAACAAACUUGCAUUAUAUUUGUGAAAAUACAGUAAUAACAGUGUUGAUCAUUCCUGAUGUAACUUAAAAACGCUGCUGUGAACAUCUCAGUGAAGUUUUGUAGUCACGCACUGCACGUGUUUUGCAGUGUUUUUCCACAGCACUGCGCUCUCUGUUAGUUGUCGGCGCCUUGCAUAUGUCGUCAUAUGCAAGAUUUCCGUAGACUACUGCUAUUGGCCGAUGGCUGGCAUCAAUCAAGAAGGGUGUUUGAAUCAGUGAGGUUCUUUAUACUGUUUCUGUGUGUAGAGUCAAACCUUUAUAUAAUGAACCUCAAUUUAACGAAAUUCGUGAUGUAACAAACUAUUUUCAUUUUGCGAUCUUAGUUUCAUUCAAAACCGUGUAUUUGUUUUGCUAUUUAAUAAGGUGAUCUUGAGACACGGGUUCGAUUUAAUUAAGUUUCUGGCCAUUUCAAACGUACUUAGAGCUUGUAUGGCUAGUAAAUCUAGCAAAAAACUAAGAAUUUCGGCCUAGGAAAAAGUUAAUUGCACGCGUCCUUUCGCAUGAGAAGUUUAUAAGUGGUUACUGACAAGGUACUAUCCACCAGGAAUGUUCUGCGGAAUUUAUGAAACUAUUUUUCCUGCUGAAACUUUAAAACUCCGAAUUAACAAAAUUUGCAAUUCAACGAAGUUUUUCGCUGCAUAUACUGCUUCGUUAUAUUGAGGUUUGACUGUACUUAUUGAUGCACUUUACUAAGUGGGCUGCAGUAAGCGACAAUCUGCUCACGGGUGGCUGUGGCCGACCACGGUCUUCCGCGAGGAAAUUACCUUUGGCCACACUGCUUAUCAGGGUCGUAGCCACUAGGUUUUGCUAAUUCUGAUCAGUUUUGUACACUGAGCUAGCCUCGAACUAAGCGAAACUUAAUCCUUUGAGGGUCAGUGCCGUAAAUAUACGGCACCACGAACAAGUCCUAUAUGAUCGAUGCCAUAUAUUUAUGGUACCGUCUGUAUGCUUCAAAAACGCAUCAAUUUUUCAACUCUGCUGCCCAGCAAUUGGAUACAAAAAAAUCUUUUUUUGCUUGGAAGUCUCUUUCAUAUCAUUCCAUGGCAUCUUUAGCUGGCAUUUCAGCGACUGCUCGCACAUCUGCGCUUUCACAGGGAGCGAACGCACGGCGGAGAGCAUACGCGACUUCCCAGUGGAAGGGGAGCGGUGGGCGAGGAGGGCUUCGAGGCACCCUAGACCACGGUGCCCUAGAGUGUGCAUGCCCGGCCGCUCUCCCACUGCGGUGUAUGCACGCAGCCCUGCUGGUUUAGAACUAUGCUCAAACAGCCGUGCUGUUUGAGCAUAGUUCUAAAGAUGAACCAGCGAGUCCUCACCAAGAUAUUACUCAUGCUGUCAUUCAAUCGUGAUUAUGCUGCCGUUGUCAUACCGCCGUCUUGCUGUCAUGGUCAUUCGAUAGUCUUCAUUCCAACUUCGUCAUCUGUUUGUCGUCCUACUGUUGUCCCCACGCUAUUGUGUUCAUAAGCUCGUCAUCAUCUCAUUGACCUCAUGUCAUCGUCGUCGUGCUGCCAUCGUCAUGCCGUCGCCAUCAUUUAGGAAUCGUUUUUUCAUUGUCGUCAUGUGGUCGUCAUUCCAUCAAAGCCAUUUUUCUUUCUCAUUACACCGUCGUCACAGCGUUGGCGUCAUGCAGUCGUCAUCCUGCUAUGCUUAUGGGCAAUUUCAGAAAAAGAGUACCAUAGCAAAGUGGGACAAUACCGGAGCAUGUCGCAUAUAGCCGAAGCAACGAAAGUCUGAGAAUGUCCACUACAGAUGCUAAAUAAGUGUGACUUCAGAAAUAUGGUGUAUCGCUACAUUGCUCGAAUGCUAAUUGCAUUAACUUCUAAAGUCGUGAGAUGUGUUCUGCGGAAAUUUUCUUUUUGUUUCGCUAUUAAGUAUCCAGUUGAAUAAAACAUGCCCAUCAAUAGUAUUUAACGAAAGUACGAUUCCGUGAAUAUGCUCAGACAUUUCUAAAAUAUAACUUUCGCCGCCAACAUUUUUGGUGUUUACGUUUGUAUAUUGAAGCAGUUACUAUUACUGGGUGUCCCAGGUAUUUAACAAUAGACAUUCUUAUCAUCGCAGUCAUUACAAUUAUAAGUGUUUGAUAUAAUAUACUUAAUAUGAUGAUACAUGCAUUCUACAUGCCUAUCACUUAGCAUAUCAUCUUUAUAAACACCUGUGUUACCAAUUUUGCAGUUUCAUUCAGAGGUGACGGCUUUCAGUCUGAAAGCAGAUGAACCACAUCCAGUCGUAGUCGCUUCUCCAGCGGGCCACAGUGACUUGAAGAUUGGCGUCUUUAUGAAUGUCACAAUAUUACUUGUGUUCUACGUCAUAAAAAAUAUUGUGGCAUUCAACAAUUAUGCGUAUUCUGUGGCUAAAAUGCCAUGGGACAAGGUAGUUGGUGGCUGCACUUCUCAUGGAAACACGGACAAACUAAUAGUGCCCGCUAAACAAACUAAUAGUGCCAUUCGUUUGUCAAGGACCACAG